rnacentral:lncRNA from 1 species
GAGUUCAGCCUAUCAUUUGAGAUCCGAGUAUGAUUGGGGAAAUAUCCUGAAAUAGUCUAUGAUUUGAAGAAAUGGAUAGAUGGCUAGAAUAACAUGCUAGAUGGUAGUCAAGUUACUAACUGCAGAAUUGAUUUGAUAAAAUUCUCAUCGUGUCUCCUGACUUAGGAGAAAUAUUGGGUCUGAUGAAUGGGUAAAAUUCCCAGGUGAAAAGAAUUUGGUCUGUAAGAUUUGGCAGCACCCUGAGGUUUGCCAUAUCUGAUGGCCUGGCUUUAGUGGCAGCACCUAGUGAAGGCCCAGGUGUCCUUCUGACAACCUUUACCACCUACCGUUUUGUCCUUACUUAUGUUGAAUCACUACACACAGGCUGUUGAAUUCAGCUGUCUGUGGAGAAAUUAUACCAACCACAUGGUUAGACAGAAGGAAUACAAUAUAUUGCUUAAUUUGUAUCUGAAAGCUAAGCAACAUGGAAAAAAAUCAAGCAUGCUCAGUCACUUCCAUGAGGACAAACGAAGACACUUCAAGGUGAUUCCCCAGUAAAUUUCUGAAAGAACAAAUGGAUGAAAAGGACAUUGACAUGGAUCUGCCAGCUUUCUAAGACUUUCCCCAGAUUCAAGUCCAGUCACAUCAAGUUGCCUUAUUAAAGGGUCUGCCCACUCAAAAGGAGAAAGUGCAAAAGAUGCUCAGCAAGGGUAGCAAACGCAGUCAGAUGAUACUUCCUGACAGCAUCCAAGAGCAAGUCUCACCACCACAUCUGUCAAUAAAAA